AUCAGCCUUUCGGGUGCGAUUCUGUGGGGUUUGAGGAGCUUAACACCUUCAUGCUUUGCAUAUUCGUGCUCUUGGGUGUACUUGCCCGUGUGGUUGGUUAACAUCAAUUUUGGUGGUCAUAAAAUGACUGGAGGAAUGUAGCUUCGAUCUUGUAUUGAAGUGUUAUAGCCUUCGGUAGAUGUGAUGAUCGAGAUUGAGGAUUGCAACGGAUACCCUUCGGGGCUACCUGUCUGGUCUCUGAUCGUUGCUCUGGUGCCGAAAGCUUGCUUACGGUUAUCAAAGUCGAUGGUCAAUAGGUUAGAACGGGUUAAAUUCGUUAAGGAUGUUGACGUAAUGGCUUU
rnacentral:rRNA from 1 species